UUCGCAAUGCCCGAAAGGGUGACGAUGCGACGCCGCGUGAGCGAAGAAGGCCCUAGGGUUGUAAAGCUCUGUCGAGGGUUAUGAAAUAUAGAUGGGUUAAUACCCCAUUUAUUUGACAAAAGCCCAAAAGGAAGCCACGGCUAACUCUGUGCCAGCAGCCGCGGUAAUACAGAGGUGGCGAGCGUUGUUCGGUAUUAUUGGGCGUAAAGAGCACGUAGGUGGUUUUGUAAGUCAGGUGUGAAAGCCUUCUGUCCAAAGGAAGAACGGCAUCUGAAACUGCAGAUCUUGAGUGUAGGAGGGGAGAGUGGAACUUCUGGUGGAGCGGUGAAAUGCGUAGAUAUCAGAAGGAACGUCGGCGGCGAAAGCGACUCUCUGGCCUAUUACUGACACUGAGGUGCGAAAGUUAGGGGAGCAAACGGGAUUAGAUACCCCGGUAGUCCUAACCGUAAACGAUGGGCACUAAGUAGAGGGGUUUU
rnacentral:rRNA from 1 species